rnacentral:rRNA from 1 species
UACGUAGGGGGCAAGCGUUGUCCGGAUUUAUUGGGCGUAAAGGGUGUGUAGGUGGCGCGCUAAGUCGGGUGUGAAAUUUCGGAGCUUAACUCCGAAACUGCAUUCGAUACUGGCGUGCUUGAGGACUGGAGAGGAGAUUGGAAUUUACGGUGUAGCAGUGAAAUGCGUAGAUAUCGUAAGGAAGACCAGUGGCGAAGGCGAAUCUCUGGACAGUUACUGACACUGAGGCACGAAGGCCAGGGGAGCAAACGGG